GUGCUUGCUUCAGCAGUACAUAUACUAAAAUUGGAAUGAUACAGAGAAGAUUAGCAUGGCCCCUGCGCAAGGAUGAGAUGCUAUCCCAGAUACCUGGGAUAUCUUG